AGAUAAUGACAUAUUUAAUUUGUUUGAUCAAAAGCCGGUUGACUAUUUCUGUAGGACAGUCAUUCCAAACAAUAAUGCCAUCAUUUCUUUUUUUCACGGUUUAGUAACUGUUAUUCCAUAUGAAGCUGUAUAGUAAAAAUUAAAUUGUUUUUUAAAUAUUUUAACUUGAUUCAAAUUAUAUUGUUAGGGUCUUGUUCAAACCCACCAUAGAUCAUGAAUGUAUUGAAAGUAUCAGUUGAUAAUGAUUCAUUUGAAAAAAGUUAUCACAAACAUAACUAAGAAUUUUUUCGUUCAUAAUGGUUUAAAAAAAUGUAUUUAUGAUGGGGAAGAAUGAAACCUUCAUUUCUUUUUUUCUUUGUUAGCAAAAUAAUUUUAGUUUAUGUACUGGUCUUCAGCUAUGUUUGUAUUCAGCUUUAUAAUUUUUCUUAAUUAUGUAUGUUUCGUUUACAUUAAGCAAUAUUUAAAUAUAAAAACAACAUACAACAUGAAAAAAA